rnacentral:rRNA from 1 species
GUGAGGAAUAUUGGUCAAUGGGCGCGAGCCUGAACCAGCCAUCCCGCGUGAAGGAAGAAGGCCCUACGGGUUGUAAACUUCUUUUCUGUUUGAAGAAUAAGCUCGUCGAGACGAGUGAUGCCGGUAGGACAGGAAUAAGCAUCGGCUAACUCCGUGCCAGCAGCCGCGGUAAUACGGAGGAUGCAAGCGUUAUCCGGAUUUAUUGGGUUUAAAGGGUGCGCAGGUGGUUUAAUAAGUCAGUGGUGAAAGUCUGGCGCUUAACGUUAGGAUUGCCAUUGAUACUGUUAGACUUGAAUAUGGAUGAGGUAGGCGGAAUGUGUAGUGUAGCGGUGAAAUGCUUAGAUAUUACACAGAACACCGAUUGCGAAGGCAGCUUACUAAUCCAUUAUUGACGCUGAGGCACGAAAGCGUGGGGAUCAAACAGGAUUAGAUACCCUAGUAGUCC